CAGAAAACCAAACACCGCGUGUUCUCACUCGUAGGUGGGAAUUGAGCAAUGAGAACACUUGGACACAGGAUGGGGAACUGCCUGUAAAUUUUAGUGAAAUCGCAAAAAGAAGAAAAUUCCAUACAUUCACUACAGAACAGGUGUGUUAGCUGGAAAAAUGCUGAAGGACACACAAAUGCAUCUGGUGCAUUUUUGUAUAUAUAAAAUGCUGGUACAAAUAUGCAUUUUAUAAUUCAAACACAUACCAAAAGGCCACCUCAUGAUUUCAAAAAGAGACUCAUCGCAAUCACCUUAAUUAAACAGCUGAAGUAAAACGUGAUAGUUUCCUAUAACCCAGGUAUUCACCAUUUCAGGAAUAUUUAUUGAAUACAUUGAUGUACACAAUGUUGCUUCAAAAGUGAGAACCCUGCCUCUCUGUGGGGCUUUCUUGAACAGUCAUCACUAACAUUUAAGUGGUUUGUAUUAUACUGAAUAUUUACCUGAGUGUUCUCAUCUAAUCUUAUCAACAGCCCCAUGAUGGGGAAACUGGCAUACAGAGAGGUUAAGUGACUCAUCCAAGGACACACAGCUUGUGUGUAGCUGUGGGAGUAGCUGGGACUGGAUUUGCUCAGUGCUCCCAAGGGUGCUGGGCAUCUUCUUUUCUAAUCCACUUGCCUUCUGUUGUAAGGUCCCCAGGCCUGCACAUUUGGACUCUUACACUUCUACCUCCCUAAUAUAUGUCUGGCUGCUCUUCUCUCAGGAUGAGAAUCUCACCAUCCAAAAUGUUUUUUGGACCAUUACUCUUGUAUUUUACUUGAAUUUUGGAAAUUAACAGGGUAAAACAGAUUUUUUUUUUUCUUAACCAUCUCCACCAUUGCAGACCCAAUACACUGUGACACAGUUCAGUGCCCACGCGGGGUCUUCAUGUGGACUGAGAGCACCUUUCCCAUCCAUCAAGGUCCCGGUGAAACUGAACCAUGUUACUGUCUGCAAUGGUGACUUUAGAAUCUGGGAGGGCAGCUGCCAAGUGCCCUUGUUGCGUUAGGAAGAUUGGAGUCCAGGGCCACGGGCUGAGGGUGACAGGAGCAAUCGGCCUAUGUUUCCCUUUUCACAUUCUCAAAUAGACACAUCCACAGAACAGAAGUAGCAGACGCUCUGCAUUUUUACAGCUUAGGUCACUGCAUUCAGAAGAAAUGUGGUAGGCCUGCCGGAAGACUGGGAUUUUGAACCACUGUCUGCUUCCUGCACGUUGACCUGAUUGAAGGCCAGGCUCUGACCCAGUCACAUGUUAUUGCAUGCUCUGCCUUGCCACCCCACUGUGAAGUCACCUGUCACCGUUAGGAACAACCUUGGCUCAUUCUUUCUGAGCUCACUUACCUUUUUGCUGAAAGGUAACUGGGUUCUUUGCAGAGCAGGGCAUUUUCCUUGAGUGGAUGGUGAAGAAAUGUCCCUGACAGUAGGCCACAGUGAACCGGGCCACGUGUGUGUCUCCCAUGAGGUUUGGGGCAUCUCCAGGUGAAUCUUGUCUCCCUGGGGCCAUCAGUGUAGCAGCCUCCAAGAUCAUGGAGCUCUUCAGUCUCCCAGUUCUCCCUGAUUCACUUAGGUGGGUUUAUUCUGUUUUUCAUUGCUGCUUCCUUAACUUAAAUCAGACUUAUUCGGCAAUAGUUUGAGAAUGUCCUCCCACUGUCUCUCCUGCUUGGCAAUGAAUUCAUGCUCCACUCUCCUCCAGCUGAGGCCAGCACUCCCUCUGGGCCCCUCAGAGCACCCCGUCUCUGCCUGCUGGUGGUGCUGACCACAGCGUUCAGCCACAAUUCUUCUGCUUUCUUCUCAUGUCCAGACAGUGAGCUCCAGUGUACUCAAGAGGUGUUUGCUGAAGUGAAUCGAAUGAUUUCAUUCAAACCUCUAAACCACCCAGCAAGUAGGUGGAUUCCCAGAUAAGGAGGAGAAGCUGAGACUCAGCAAUGUUCAGUGCCCGCACGAGCCUCAAGAACAAAGGCCAUCAGAAAGGCCGUUCCGCGGCGUGGAGCCCCACAGGACUCAUCAACCAUGGUUGAGGUUGACUGAAAACAGAGCAAGAGAGGCCCUCGCCCAUCUCAGGGUUCCACGGUGUUCUGCCGUAUGGAUGGACCACAUUACCUUAUGGAUGGACCACAUUUGGCUUCUCCAUACGCCCACCAGUGACUGCUUUCUGGGCAUUAUGACUAACACUGAUGAGAGCAUUUGUGUACGUUUUUCUUUGACUCCCUGCAGAAUUUUGGUGUGGGCUGAUUCUCAGGUUUCACUGGACCCGGCCUCCUCUGGUGAGUACCUGCUAAGACUGUAAUUCACUGAUUGGCUAUCCUGGGAUUUGUUUUCCUCAGAUGAGACUGGUGUUUUCUGCUAAAUACAAUGGAUUACUUAAAGGGUCUUGAAGGGGCAUGAUACUGCAAUAUGCACCUUCCACGGCCUGGAAUCUCCCUGAGUCUUGUCUUGGUUGAACUGCCUUCCAUGUACAGUAAGAUUGGUUUAGGGCUGAGGUGAUUGUGAGCUGCAUUGCUGGAAGAGUGGCGAUUGGAGGAAGAUGGUGAUCCCCUGCUCCACCCAAGCUGUGGAUACAUCAUCUCUCGACCACUGCCCCCAGGAUGGAGGCUGAAGCCCACGCAGAUGCCCCCAGUCACUCACGACGGCUUGCUGUUCAAGGCUCCCUGCUUUGUUCCCCGUGCCACGUGCUGCAUGAUGCCAGUGCCAUGGUGCCCAUGGGUUGCCAAUCUGCAAACAUGAGUGACAUGGCUCAGCAAAACCUCCUCUCGACGUCCAUGGAAAGCGCGGGGCUGCUCAGCGCGACCCAGAGAACCACAGAGUGUGUGUCUCCAGCUCUCUGGGCACAUGAGCCCACUAGCCCCCUCUGAAGAUGUUGGAAAGGAGGAGAAGAAAGAGGAAAGCAGGGAAGAUCGCCUUGUAGAGGCCAGGCUGCAGCUUGGGCUCCGUGCACCUCUGCCUGCUAACGGGAUCCACCUCAGGUCAAGAAGGUGCUGGCUCACCCUUCCCUCAAGAUUUUAGAGAUCCCAGUGCAUGUCCUGGAAAUCCUUUAAAAUUCAAAGAAAACAAGCAAAGCUCUGGCUAAUUAAAUGUUUUCUGCUUACCGUCGUUAACAUAUUAAUGAUACAGGUUAAAUGUAUUACUCAGUGGUGCAGAAGCUCUUAGGUCUGUGCACCCCUUUUUGAGAGGAUUUCUCCAUGUGGCAUCUGUGUUUACAGUGCACUGGCUUUCUGUUCACAGGGCUUUUACAUGGGGGCGAUGGCAUGGCAGAAAGCAUCCCCAGGGUGAGAAGGGGAUGAGGAGGUCCACAUUGCAGUUCAGACCCCCUGGACACCUGCCUUUGAGAUAGCCACGUCCCUGAGCCUUUCCUUUCAAAGGAUGGUGGGUCAGUUUCUAAUGUUCCCAUUUUGACUUCUCAGACUCGGACUGGGGCUAGAUAGAGCACAGGUCCUCUCGUUGAGGUCACUGUAGUGCUUCAGAGACAUCAGCACUCUUGCUUUCUUUUGCACAUCCUUGGUUUUCAGUUAUUAUGGGUACACAGCAAGCCACCCCAAACUUAGUACAGCAACAGCCAUUUUGCUGUGUUGGCGGAUUCUGUGGGUAAGGAAUUUGGAAGGAGCCCAGGGUGUGGUGCGUCAGUUGGGAGGAUUCGAGUUAACAGUAGGUUUGCUCACUCCCAUGUCUGUGGCACACGUGGCCUCUGUGUGGCUGGGCUUCCUUGCAGCAUGGCAUCCUGAGCCGCUUUCCACGGGGGCUUGCUCAGGGCUCCCAGCACGAGGGUUCCCGCCAACAGGGUGGAUUCCACAGCGCCUUUUCUGGCCCAGUCUCUGCCACACUGAAUCAUCUAUACCUGGCGAGGUCCUGACUUCCUUUCUGCCAGACCUUUCUCUGGUCCUCAAGGUCCCUUACUGUUUUUGCCCUUGGUUACAACCUCCUGUGUACCUGUCCUGGAGUGUUAUGGUUAGGAGUGUGGUCUCAGGCGCAGACUGAAAUAUACUGCUGUGUGCAGUAGGAACCUCGGCUGCUGCCCUAUGUUCAUGGCAAGCACUUCAGAGCCGAGCCUGGUGCGAGGCGAGUCCUCCAUCAAUGGCCUUGACUUUUCUUUCCCAGACUAAAGUACAGAUUCCUUCAGGGAAGCUCUGUCUUGGUCAUCUCUGCCUGGCAUUUCCUGCGGGACUUGGCAAGUACUGCGUUCCCUCUGCUUGGGGAGUCUGCGCUGGGUCUGUCUCCUGUUCUGUAAGUCUCACAAAUUCACCCUCUCAGAGCAGCUGUCUCUGCCUGUCCCCUGCUAGGAGCUGUGGUGACCCCCACUCACCUUGUUUCCUUUUGUUCAGGACACUAGCUCUAAUGAAAAUGUUUCAUCCCCUGUUUGUUUCUGUUAGACCAGGAUAUGAACCCCACCAGAGCCAGAUCUGGGCCUGUCUCCUUCCCUGCUAUUCAAGAGGGUCUGGGCGAAAAAUGGAGGGAGAGGAGGAAGGGAGGGGUAAAAAGAUCGACUUCAGGAAGAUUUCAGAAACACGGUGCUGAGAAUAGUAGGGUCAUGUACCACGGUGGGAUUUACUUCCUUUUUAUACACUUAAAAAAUCUCAAAAACAUCCAU